GGGGCCUCGGCCAUCCACAUCAGGUCCAUGUUACAGGCGAGCACCGGCAGCUGGGCCGACAGCUGAGGAUCGUACACACAACCAGGACUCCCAUUGGUCAGGAGCACGUCAAUCAGCAGCUGCAGUUGUGUGUUACCUUCUAUUUGGGGAGGAGUCUGCAGAGGAGACGACUUAAACAGAGAAAAUACUGUUAGCUGCUGGAUCUUUACUACAGUAUCAUCAAACACAAAACAGGUAAAUUAGAAACAGAGUUUUUUCUCUGAUAUAAACCUGCUUCUCUCUGCAGGUGAAGCCUCACAUACAGUCAGACAGUUUGCAAUUAGUACUGACGAAGACGAGACCAAACUGACGUCAUUAAACAAUAACUGACUAAAUCUCCAGAAAACAAUCCUGUAAUCCAGAUCUCCUUCUUGUCAUUUCUCUUCCUGUGUUUCUGAAACAUCUUCAGGUGACUUUGCACACCAGAAGGGCACCGCUAACAGUGCUAACACCGCUAACAGUGCUAACACCGCUAACAGUGCUAACGCCUGGAGCUAGCUGCAGCCGGGAGCUGCAGGAGGAAAAUGAUGCACAUGAUGACUGUUACUGGGCAGCUGACCUCCGACAGCUUCAUGUUUCAGUGAAGCGCAGGAUAUUUGGUGCCAUCCUGAAGCUGAAUCCUGCCGCCAUCCCUCCAAACUUCAGUAUGUAGAACAACGUCAUGUCAACAAAUACUCAGUGAAUUUAGUUGUCGUUCACACAUUAAAAGGUCUGGACCCAAAUGAAGCAACAGUUUAACUGGCCUUCUAUAUCUCUAGUGACCCCACUUAGUAAUAAUCACCUUUUCCUCCCUCGGAGUUAGAUGGAGGUGAAAGGGGCACAAUCAAAGUACUGUUCAUAAAUGGUCAAUUUUAUUUACAUAGCGCCAAUCAUAACAGAAGUUAAUGUCAUAUAGAGCAGGUCUAGACCGUACUCUUUAUUAUUAUUAUUAUUAUUAUUAUUAUUAUUAUUAACAGAGAUCUAACAAUUCCCACCAUGAGCAAGCACUUGGCGACAGUGGCAAGGAAAAACGAGAGAGAGAGAGUAACAUACACCAUGGGUGGGUUAGGUGGAAGAUGUCGGAGGGAUGGGUGAAGGUAUGUAAAGAUGAAAAAUGGGUGCCUUCCAUUGCUCUGCUAUGCUACACAUUUUGCAUUUGUCCGCAAUAAAAAAAAUACUUAACAAAACGUACAUGAUGUUAACAGCAGGUCAACCAGUAUAAAUAUAGCGCAGUGGAGAGAAACAGUAAGUGUGUAGUAACGUUACUGUCAGAAAGAAAAUAUCUGGAACAAAACUACAAACCUGAAACUGAGCUACGUUACGUUAAUAUGUUAAAUAACGUUACUCUUUAACUUAUAAUAACUUAAACCGAAUAGGUUACAAAAGGCAGCACAGUAACGUUGUGUAUCAUUAGCAUGUCACUACAAUGAGAGUUUAGCCAAACUGGAAAGUCAGAAGCUAAGCCGGUUUGUUAAAUAGUUACUGAGAACUUAAGGAUUUACAAACAGAUGCUGCAGCUCAGAGUCCUGAAGUCACAUGUCACAGGUACAGCACUCACAGGUAGCUUGGGUCUCCUGUUGUGGUCCACCAUGUCCAGCAGGGGGUAAUGUUCUCUGAGCUGCUCGACACUCACGACCUUCUGAAAACCCAAACUGACGACGCGGUCAAGACUUCAAAUACGUGAAUCAUUCAAACUGAUUCACUGUGUUCACAGCGCAAAACAUUACAACACAAGUCUCAAUGAUUAUUACUGAUUAUUAUCAUUAUUACUAAACACACAGAUCAACAUGUUUCAUUAUCAGCAGCCAUAAACUCGUAUCUCCAUGUAGGUUUAUUGUCUCUCUAAGCAGUAAAUAUCUCUGGUUACUGUGAAACAAUGUCAGUUCACAUAUAUUAAUAUCUGCGUGUCCUCUGUGAAUGUGUGUAUUUAUAUCAGCUAUAUCAUUAAUAUCAGUCAACCUCCUCACACUUCACAGCUAGCUAGCUAGCUGCUGUGCUAAAAGAGCUUGUUGUUGUUCAGUGAGCCGACUGAUCGGCACAUUGAUUGUGUUUAUAUUCAGACAAUAAAAGGCAUCAUUCAUCUACAUGAUUCAACGCUCAGCCAGUUUGUUUAUGUUUGCUUUGUUAUGCAAACAUGU